UCGCNUCUGCUGUGAAAGGCUGGGGCUUAACCCUGGUUUUGCAGNGGGUACGGGCUAACUAGAGUGCAGUAGGGGAGACUGGAAUUCCUGGUGUAGCGGUGAAAUGCGCAGAUNUCAGGAGGAACACCGAUGGCGAAGGCAGGUCUCUGGGCUGUAACUGACGCUGAGAAGCGAAAGCAUGGGGAGCGAACAGGAUUAGAUACCCUGGUAGUCCAUGCCGUAAACGUUGGGCACUAGGUGUGGGGGACAUUCCACGUUUUCCGCGCCGUAGCUAACGCAUUAAGUGCCCCGCCUGGGGAGUACGGCCGCAAGGCUAAAACUCAAAGAAAUUGACGGGGGCCCGCACAAGCGGCGGAGCAUGCGGAUUAAUUCGAUGCAACGCGAAGAACCUUACCAAGGCUUGACAUAUACUGGACUGCGUCAGAGAUGGCGUUUCCCUUCGGGGCUGGUAUACAGGUGGUGCAUGGUUGUCGUCAGCUCGUGUCGUGAGAUGUUGGGUUAAGUCCCGCAACGAGCGCAACCCUCGUUCUAUGUUGCCAGCACGUGAUGGUGGGGACUCAUAGGAGACUGCCGGGGUCAACUCGGAGGAAGGUGGGGAUGACGUCAAAUCAUCAUGCCCCUUAUGUCUUGGGCUUCACGCAUGCUACAAUGGCCGGUACAGAGGGUUGCGAUACUGUGAGGUGGAGCUAAUCCCUAAAAGCCGGUCUCAGUUCGGAUUGGGGUCUGCAACUCGACCCCAUGAAGUCGGAGUCGCUAGUAAUCGCAGAUCAGCAACGCUGCGGUGAAUACGUUCCCGGGCCUUGUACACACCGCCCGUCAAGUCACGAAAG
rnacentral:rRNA from 1 species